ACUUUUCUGUGGCUCAGCUGGUAGAGCAUUGUGCUAAAAACACAAAAGGCUUGGGUUCAAAUCUCAGGGAAAGCA